UUUUUAUUAAGUUUUAUAAUUUUUAAUUUUUCCCUUUUCUCACUGUAGCUGUCUGGAGUUCUCCUCUAUACCUGGUGGAUUUUGCACAUUCAGAAGGUGUUGUUGCUUCAUUAGUUUAAAGUCUGUUGAUUUAUUUGAUAACAUUAUCAAAAAGUGUUGUAAUUGUAUAAUGAAAAACUAACACAAGGUUAUUUCAUUUUGGCACUAUUAACUAUACCAGGGGUAGGCAACCUACGGCACUAGUGCCAUGCACGGCACUCGAGGUGUCUUUGUACGGCACUCAAGGCUGCUAGAGCCAAACAGGCUCUGGCCUAUCAGGAGUCCCAGUAAAACUUAAAAUAUCUUCUAAUACGAAAAGGUGGUGAAGGACAAUCCUCAACUUAAGCAUUGCAGCACAUAGAGGAAAUGAUCUCAGAUCACUUGCUCCAAGCACUUGUGAAUGGGAAUCCACACCGUAGUAGAGCAGCCUGCAGCUGCUGUUGCAGCUCCUGUCUUUGACCUGUACCAGGCCAGCCUGGUCCCCACUGGAACCCACCCACACUGCUAGAUAUACACAGAUAUUGUGGAUCAAACCAAGUGUUUAUCUGAGUAUCUGCUCCUUUCCAAAUUGUUAAAAUAAAUGCGUGCACACUCUGAAGUAAAUCACACUGAGAUACAGGUAUCAGGUUAAUGAAAAACUUCGGAAUGUUUACUCAGGGGGUGGCAAGCCCUUUAUAAAGGCAAAAAUACAUCAAAUGCAAAAAUGUAGAUAACAGAGAGAAUACAUCUUUAACUGGUUAGGUGUUAAGUGUCUUAUCUAAUGCACAUCCUACGAGGUGUGAUGUCACCAUCAUCCCGAGAUUUUACUCCGGAUGUAGGUGCCAUCUUGUUACACGAGGUAGUUAGUCAGUGGGAGGGGGUGCUCUAGCAGCCAUUUUGAGUAGAUAUUGAAUACAGGUAUACACAGUAAAUAGACAUUUUACUAUCACUAAUUUACAUUCAUAACACAGAAAUGAAGAAUAACCCUCCCCUUAUACAAAUAAUACGAACAGCCCACACACAAACAUACACACAAUCUGCACAAACGUAACCCGCUAACAAUCCACAUACAUGCACACAACCCCACAUGCAGCCUCUCAAAUGCAAUACCCCAAACAGCCCACACCCACUACCAAACACACAAUGUGACAUAUCCAUCCACACACAAUUCCACAAGCAGCCCUGAUGCACAGCACACAUUCAUAUGUAUCAUACACAAUACCAUAAACUACUAAUGAACUUAUACAAUAUAAUAGCUUAUAUACGCACAGAUACAACAAUGCAAAGCAACUGCAGUAAAAAUAACACAAGCAGAAUACGGCAGCAUACACACCUCAAUUUAAAAAAAUAGGACCGGCACGCUACGGGACAUCACAAUCCUAUAUCUGCACAGUGCUGCUAAAAGGUUGCCUACCCCUACCAUUGACUCUUAUUAUGUAUAAAAAAGAUAUCUGUAUAGUGAAUCAUGCUUAAUACCAAAGUAUUACAAUUUUACAUUUAUAAUUGCUUUUUUAUCCUCAUAAAUUCAUAGUGGGACUUGAACACUGUAUAUGGACGUUUCCCACUCCUGAGGGCAACAGAAAAUUAUUUCGGACGCACGCUGCGUGCGCAUACCCGGAAGUCAACAUACGACCCAGAUGUGAAAAGACCUCCGCCUGCAACCCGGAAGUGAUGCGCAAGGUGCAGCGAAAAUUCAAUUGAAGAUGGAUAUAAAACGCCACGGAAAGCCGGUUAACUUUUAUUGUGCACUGAGGAAGACUUGAUUGAAGUCGAAACGCGUUUGCCAACCAUUUGUUUUGUGUACAUUUUAUACAUUCUUGUUCAUAUUAUUACUGUACAGGCUUCACUAUGUAUUGUAAAAUUUAUCUUUGAUAGAUUCUAUGAGAGGAAGAUGCUCCUAAUUACAAGACACGAUUGUUGGGAAGUAUUAUUAUCACAUUGGGUGGUGUAUACGUGUGGUAAUAUUAUUAUGACUGGUACUGUUUCAUAUAUUCUUAAGGUGAUUGGGAACACCUAUAGUUUUACACACUCUGCUAAGAAUUGUGAAGCACCCAGACACCUUUAAACUCUUUGAGUUUUGCUUUGUUUUUAGAACACUUAAUUAGCCUAUUCAAAUUUGGGAAUCCAACAAUUGGCCUUAAUCAGAGAGAGAUAUUUAUUUAUUUAAGACUGAAACACAUCCUCACACAACACAAGAUUAAGGGAGUGGAGAAACACAUGAUGGGUGAGUUUGGGAAACUUUGUAAAGGAGGAAUAAGGAAAGCUAGACCAUUGUCGGUUUCUUACAGAGGAUUAUUGCACCAUAGCAAACCUAUAAAACAGCAAUACGUGCAGCAAUGGGAACGUGAAUUGCAAUGUACGAUUGAAUCAAAGCAGUGGCACUGCACGGUGUGGAUGACCAACUACUGCCUGGAUCACAUGGAAGCCACUAGCAAAAUAUGGAUUAGAUGUUAUUUAAUGCCACAAAGAUUGGCCCAUAUUUAUGAGGAAACUUCACUACUAUGUUGGAAAUGUGAAAGGGAUCUUUUGGCAUUGUCACUGACUAAAACCAUUUUAGACACAGAUCCAACAUUUAAUUCUAUCAACGGUAGGGAGGAACCUCCCCCUUCAACCAGAUAUAUAUCUCAUGAACAUUUUACCCAAGGAUAUAG
rnacentral:lncRNA from 1 species